rnacentral:rRNA from 1 species
UACGUAGGGGGCAAGCGUUGUCCGGAAUCAUUGGGCGUAAAGAGCGUGUAGGCGGCUCGAUAAGUCCGCUGUGAAAGUCCAGGGCUCAACCCUGGAAGGCCGGUGGAAACUGUCGGGCUAGAGUCCGGAAGAGGCGAGUGGAAUUCCCGGUGUAGCGGUGAAAUGCGCAGAUAUCGGGAGGAACACCAAUGGCGAAGGCAGCUCGCUGGGAAGGUACUGAGGCUGAGGUGCGAAAGCGUGGGGAGCAAACAGA